GGAGAGACGGUGGCAGGCAGACCCAUCCCGUCCCGUCCCCAACCCCCCUCUAUUUCACCGUCGCCCACGCUCCUUUUCCCUUUCCGCAUCCGCAGCAACGAAAGCGAGCGCAAACCAAACCCACCCCACAACGCAACGCCCUCGUCCCGCCCCCCUCCUCCGACGAUUCGAGGCCCCGGGCUCCCGCGCGGCGGCGGCGGAGGAAGCAUGAGGACGGCGGCUGCGGCGGCGGAGGCGCACCAGUCGCGCCUGCUCUACGAGCUGGGCGCGCUGCUGCUCACCAUCCUCCGGUCGCCGCUCGGGCCGGGGGAGGAGCCGCGGCAGGUGACGGCGGCCGGGGUGGCGUCCAUGAUGCUGGGCGCCUCCAUGGCGCUCAUGCUCUGCGGCUCCGUCACCUUCAUGCUCGGCUUCUUCCUCAUGCCCUGGGUCGUCGGCCUCGCCUGCGUCUUCCUCUUCGUCGGCUUCCUCACCAACCUCUCCGGGAUCUGGAGGGCCAUCCUCUGCUGGCCCGCCGCAUGCUCCUCCUCCUCGCCCCAUAAGGACGCCUCCACAUGGCAUAUAUUCCCCAAGCCUCCAUUCAUGUAG
rnacentral:rRNA from 1 species